UUGCUUGGUGGAUCAGUGGCGAACGGGUGAGUAACACGUGAGCAACCUGCCCUGGACUCUGGGAUAAGCGCUGGAAACGGCGUCUAAUACUGGAUAUGAGCUCUCAUCGCAUGGUGGGGGUUGGAAAGAUUUUUCGGUCUGGGAUGGGCUCGCGGCCUAUCAGCUUGUUGGUGAGGUAAUGGCUCACCAAGGCGUCGACGGGUAGCCGGCCUGAGAGGGUGACCGGCCACACUGGGACUGAGACACGGCCCAGACUCCUACGGGAGGCAGCAGUGGGGAAUAUUGCACAAUGGGCGGAAGCCUGAUGCAGCAACGCCGCGUGAGGGAUGACGGCCUUCGGGUUGUAAACCUCUUUUAGCAGGGAAGAAGCGAGAGUGACGGUACCUGCAGAAAAAGCGCCGGCUAACUACGUGCCAGCAGCCGCGGUAAUACGUAGGGCGCAAGCGUUAUCCGGAAUUAUUGGGCGUAAAGAGCUCGUAGGCGGUUUGUCGCGUCUGCUGUGAAAUCCCGAGGCUCAACCUCGGGCCUGCAGUGGGUACGGGCAGACUAGAGUGCGGUAGGGGAGAUUGGAAUUCCUGGUGUAGCGGUGGAAUGCGCAGAUAUCAGGAGGAACACCGAUGGCGAAGGCAG
rnacentral:rRNA from 1 species